AGUAUUCUGUGUGUGUGAUGUGUCCUAAGGCUCUCUUUCUCCCUGCUGCAGACUAUGUGGCCAGAUAGUAUUCUGUGUGUGUGAUGUGUCUGUGCGUAGUGGAGAGGUGCGCCAUACAAUGGCCCUGUCAGACGUACACCCCGGCGUGUGGAGCUUAGGGUUGGCCUUCCCCGUAGUCAUGGUGAUCAUCAAUGAACUCGUGAAACAUCGGGAAGUCAAGGUUGCAGUUCGCUGUCAGAAGCGAGCUAGACUGGACUUUGGAACAAAGCUGGGCAUGAACUCGCCAUUUUGAUCUGUGAAAUGAAUUCAACUUAAGCACCUAUAAAACGGUGUAAUGUAUUUGUACAUUAUCAUACAAAAGGUGACUUAUUCUGUCAAAAUGGUUAAAGAGCAAAAAGCUGAUUAUUAUCUGCGCCUGGCUGUGGUAUACAUGCCAAGAUUACUUCAAAAUUGUUCACAGUUUGAGGAGCUUUAAUACCUCUUGUUGACAGCACCCAUCUACUGUCUCGCACAAAACUUGUCUUAUACAAGACUAGUUAAAUCAUGAUUAUUAAUAUAUAUUUUAUAUAGUUUACAUGGAACAUAACAAGUUUUUUGUUGAAAGACAAUUAAAUUUCAGUAAAAAUUUUUUUUUUUUACGUCAUUAAAAUCAGUGAAAAUAUCAGAAAUAGAAACGUUUUUCCAAGAAUUAUAUCGGUUUAGCAGUGUCAGUUUCGCACAAUUGAAAAUGCGUAAGAAACCAUUUUUCACAAUAAUUACAAAAUACUGGUACACAAAAAAGAAUCUUUAAAAUAUGCUUUUCCAUUGAAUGCAUAAGAACUUGACACAAUUAUAAUUAAGCUACGAAGCAUAGAUAAUUGAUUUUCCCAACCAUACACAUGGAUGACGUAUAGCACACAUUUUGAUGACACAAUACAUCUGCAAGAUGAUUCAGCUUAUCAGGAGUGAUUUUGUUUACUGUUCUGCAGCUUAAAAUAAAAAAGUGAUGCUUUCA